rnacentral:lncRNA from 1 species
AAGACUGCCUCCAAGGAGGAUCCCACACAGAGGUACCAUGGAUGAGGGCUUCACCAUGUCUUUCAGGGGACACAGUGUGACACAUAAGAGGUGGCGAUGCAGAUUAAACGCUUGUUUUGCCAGAAAGCUCUCACCGUUUCCCAGGCUGCGUGGUCACUUCCUUGGCCAUCCCUCCACGGCACUGCCUGCCACCACCUCCUCCUCUCAGCCCAGAGCCAGCCUGCCCACCGCUGGAUCCUGGCCCUGCCUCUGCCUGGCCACAUGGUAGCAGCUUCAACUUCGUGGUACCCCAGGCAAUAGAGAAGAGCAUCCCCUGUGCCCUGUGCCCUGAAGACUCUCCUGGGAUCUCAUUAGCUCCGGUUGACUCACAAGUCAAUCCUUGCAUUAAUUGCUGUGCCCAUAGGAAUGCAGUGGGCUCCACGGCUUAGGCUCCCACUCCUGGUCCCCAGCACCUGUGUCCUUAGCCCACCAGAUGAGUCCACUGUACGCAGCAGCGUGAAGACAGCCGGUCUAGGUGUCCGAGACACAGAGAGUGGAGGAGAAGAUCCUUGGCGUAUUUUCUGGGAAUCUAUGUAGAUAUGUAGUGCUUUGGAUGGUGUCAGGUCUUGCGGUUGGGCCAUGAAGGACCAUCAGCGAGAAGUCCUGCUCUUCAGGACAUAAAUUUCCUUUAACAAGACAGAGAUGCUUAAAGACUUUGGUCUCCCAUUCAGGUCUACCUGACCCAGAGACGUAAACUGAUGAAAUCUCAGCUUUGGAAAUAUCCUUGAGGGUCAUCUGAUCCAAACACAAUCACCAUGGACCCCAAUAUGCUUCUUGAUGGCAUCUUUUACCAGCUGGUAACGACAUGAUCACAUAAAUGCCUCCCCGGAUGAAGGGGAGGCCAAACCAUUUUCUAAUGCUCAGAUGUUUAGAUUUUCUUACACUUUUAGGCAGAAAUCCCUCUCUUUGUAAAAACCCCUUCUAUCGAUCCUAGUUGUACUGAGAAUGAUGCAGAACAGCUCCAUUCCUUGCUCCAAAGACAGCCUGUGCAUUGAAGACAGAUCUGUACCCUGUCUACUUCUCCUAACUUCCGGGAAACAGCCCUAGUGUUACUGCUUGAUAGAUGUCCCUCAAGGCCCACGUGGUAAAGGCUUGGUCCCCCGCCUGUGGCACUAACAGGAAGUGGUAGACCCUGUAAGAGUUGGUGCAGCACAGAAGGCCCUUGGGCCAUUGGGGUUGUGCCCCGGAAGGGGAUAGUGGGACCCUAGCCCCUUUCCCUUCUCCCUUUUUUGUGUUUGCUUUGUGAGAAGCUUCGCCCCCA